GCACCAAAUAUUAAUGUGUAAAAAUUAUAUAUCUAGGUUUCAAAUUACAAAAUCUCUAUCCUAUGCUUUGAUGUUGAUCUAAGUAACUACAAUGGUGGCAGACAUAGAGAUAGUUUUCAUGUUAGAACUGUUACAGGUUAUUUAACUUCUCAAUUUUCACAAAAUAAACAAGUUGGAUAAAUUCAUGGAUAUUAUGAAA